UAAUGCCGGAUGCUCCGACUCCUCGCAUGGGGUGUCGGGAAAGAUUUCAUCGGUAUGGGAUGGGGUCGCGUCCUAUCAGGUAGUCGGCGGGGUAACGGCCCACCGAGCCUACGACGGGUAGCCGGCCUGAGAGGGCGACCGGCCACAUUGGGACUGAGAUACGGCCCAGACUCCUACGGGAGGCAGCAGUGGGGAAUAUUGCACAAUGGGCGCAAGCCUGAUGCAGCGACGCCGCGUGCGGGAUGACGGCCUUCGGGUUGUAAACCGCUUUUGAUCGGGAGCAAGCCUUCGGGUGAGUGUACCUUUCGAAUAAGCACCGGCUAACUACGUGCCAGCAGCCGCGGUAAUACGUAGGGUGCAAGCGUUAUCCGGAAUUAUUGGGCGUAAAGGGCUCGUAGGCGGUUCGUCGCGUCCGGUGUGAAAGUCCAUCGCUUAACGGUGGAUCUGCGCCGGGUACGGGCGGGCUGGAGUGCGGUAGGGGAGACUGGAAUUCCCGGUGUAACGGUGGAAUGUGUAGA
rnacentral:rRNA from 1 species